CAAACUGUUACUGUUAGAGAGAAAAAGCUCAGUAUUUUUCAUGUUAUUUAAUUUCUCUGUUAUAAUGCAUAAAUACUGCACUGCUACAGUUUUUAGAUAUGUAAUCCAUCUCCUGCUUCUUCUUAAAAGUGUCAUAAAUGGAGACAAAGUAACCCAGUUAGAAUUAAUAAAAACUGUAUCUGAAGGUGAGGAAGUUGAUCUGUCCUGCAAUUUUACAGCAACAGCUGCUGCAACUCCAUACUUACACUGGUACCAGCAGAAGCCAAAUGGACCUCUCAAGCAUCUAGGACUUUCUACAAGUAAAUUUCAAAUUAAUGCAGCAGAAGGUCGUUUCAAGGCACAUUUCGAUGGUUCCAAAAGUUCCACGUUUUUAAGCAUUGUCAAAGCGGAGCUGUCUGACUCAGCCGUUUACUACUGUGCAUUGGGUGACACAGUGUUGCACACUCCCAGUAUCAGUGUACAGGAAUUGCUGCUACAUGUAUCAGGAAUGUAAAACAUCUUUCUUGCAUUCUCAUAGAUUUGAUGAACAUUUACAGUGUUUCCUAGCAUUUUUAUUCUAUACUUCUGCAGAAUUCAGAGAAUAUUUCAGUGCCAUAAAGAUUUAUAACCCUUGUUUACUGCUCUAGUGAGAAUGCUCUUUGAAGCAUUACAUCAACAGUACCUGCUCAGAAUGAUUUUUAAGCCAUUUGGAAUGAUUGCCUGUAGAACUUUUGUAGAACAGCCAUUAAAGUAAUGUUAACAGGUUUUCAUGAU